rnacentral:snRNA from 1 species
GUGCUUGCUUUAGCAGCACAUAGAGUAAAACUGGAACAAUACAGACAAGAUUAGCAUGGCCCUGUGUAAAGAUGAUAGGCAAAUUCAUGAAGCAUUCUAUAAAUAA